UGUUGAGCAGUGGCACCGAGUAACCACCCUGUCCAAGAAGUGAUUCACAGAGGAAGGCCAGCAUAGAAGAAGGCUGAAAUGAAAGGGAAGAAUGAGGCUAACUGAGCAGCCCCAGAAGACACAUAAGAAAUACUUCACCUGAAACAUAACGAGAAGCUGCACUCCAAUCACUGAUGAAGCCAGACUGGAGCAAACCUUCCAGAGCAUGCAGAGGGUGAAGGUCACAUCCUCCACAGAAGCUGGUUUGCACUGCAGAGUUUUUCCUGUUGGCAUCAUGCUGCUUGCUAAUAUAGACCUAUCCUAAGUCA